GAUGAACGCUGGCGGCGUGCUUAACACAUGCAAGUCGAACGAUGAAGCCCUGCUUGCUGGGUGCACUAGUGGCGAACGGGUGAGUAACACGUGAGUAACCUGCCCUUAACUCUGGGAUAAGCCUGGGAAACUGGGUCUAAUACCGGAUAGGAGCGCCUACCGCUUGGUGGGUGUUGGAAAGAUUUAUCGGUUUUGUAUGGACUCGGGCCCUAUCAGCUUGUUGGGGGGGAAAUGCCUAACCAAGGGGACCACGGGGGGCCGGCCUGAGAGGGUGACGGGCACCAUUGGGCCUGGGACACGCCCAAGACCCCAACGGGAGGAAGCGGUGGGGAAUAUUGACAAUUGGGGGAAAGCCGGUGGCGGCGCGGCGGGGUGGGGAAUAACGGCCUCCGGGUGGUAAACCUCUUUCAGAGGGGAAAAAGCGAUAGUGACGGUACCUAGAGAAGAAGCACCGGCUAACUACGUG
rnacentral:rRNA from 1 species